rnacentral:rRNA from 1 species
UACGUAGGUGACAAGCGUUGUCCGGAGUUACUGGGCGUAAAGGGUGUGUAGGCGGUUGUUUAAGUUUGGUGUGAAAUCUCCCGGCUCAACUGGGAGGGUGCGCCGAAUACUGAAUGACUUGGAGUGCGGGAGAGGAAAGUGGAAUUCCUGGUGUAGCGGUGAAAUGCGUAGAUAUCAGGAGGAACACCGGUGGCGAAGGCGGCAUCCUGGACCGACACUGACACUGAGGAGCGAAAGCCAGGGGAGCAAACGGG